UAAGUAGUGACAAUGUGUAUCGGUGUUAUUUUGUGUUUAUUACAUUCUUCCGAAAGUAUUUUCUGUUAAAUUAAGAUGAUAAAAUGGGUAAUUGUGUUUCAUUUUUUAUGUUGAGAAUUACAACAAUCUGUUUUCCUACAUUU